rnacentral:tRNA from 1 species
CGAGACGUAGCUUUAACAAAAGCAUUCAGCUUACACCUGAAAGAUAUCCGACCACACCGGAUCGUCUCGA